UUUUUAAACAAAAUAAUUUAUUGUCAAAUUGGCUAAUAUACAGUGUAUAAGGUGUGCUCUUAGUUUUGGGGGCAGAUUCCUGUGGUUCAUCACUUGCAUACAACACCCAGUGCUCAUCCCAACAAGUGCCCUCCUCAAUGCCCA